AAUGCUGAAGCAGGUUCUGGAAGUGCUGCUGCAAUAAUUUGCUGGUCAGCAAGUUCCAGACCAUUUGUGCCUUGAAAAAAAAUCAGGAAACAGGAUUUACUUGGGAACAAUUGCUGUAAUAAAGUCGGUUGAAGUUUCA